rnacentral:rRNA from 1 species
AAAAACAUUUCUUAUAAAAUUUUUAUAAGUAAAAUCUGCUCCAUGAUUAUAAAUAGCCGCAGAAUUCUAACUGUGCUAAGGUAGCAUAAUCAUUUACCUUUUAAUUAAAGGUCUGCAUGAAUGAUUUUACAAUUAAAUUAUUUUUUUACAAAUAUUUAUUUAAAUUAAACUAAAAAUAAAAAUGUUUUUAUACAAAAAAAAGACGAUAAGACCCUAUUGAACUUUACCUACGUUCAGCUGGGGAAGCUAGUUAAAUAUAAUUUUAAUGAUACCUACUUUAAUAAACCCCUAAUAAAAUUAUUUUAAACAAGUUACCAUAGGGAUAACAGCGUAAUAUAAUUUUAAAGCUCAUAUUAAAAAUUAAGCUUACGACCUCGAUGUUGAAUU